rnacentral:lncRNA from 1 species
AAUGCCCACAACAGAGUCACAAUGAUCAAUGGAAAAAUACUCCCUCAUUAAUGCCACAUACCAGCAUUAUCAACCACCUAAAAGAUGAAUGAUUUAGACCCCAAUUAAACACCAUGAAAAGCAUAUGUUACAGAGAAUCAAGCAGAACUCUACAGAGAAUGUGAGGGAGAAACAGAUCAAGGAGUGGCAAAGCUUGGAUCUGAAUUCAGAUGCGCUCAUUCUCAAGCCGUAUUCUUAACCACUCUACUACUCUUCUCCAAUUGUUUUGGAAAUAUGAAACAAUUGGAGAUCUGAAGCUUCAAAACUCCUACCAACCACCAUCUCCUUCGUGAAGCCUUCCCUGCCCACCCCAGAUAGGAGGAAUGAAUGAACACCAGUAGUCUGCUGGCCUGCCUGGUCUGCCUGGUGUCUGGCAUCCAGAGACUUUUCCUGGCUGACCUUUUGGAGAAUGUCCAACAUUGAGAAAAUGGAAUCCAAAAGAAGACACAGAACCGGGCUCCAUGUUUUCAGAGACUGCACCACAUUGGUCAUUGGAGUUAAAUGUGUUCAUAUCCAUCGGCUCUGUGCUCUGUCACGCAAAAUAUUAAAAUGAAAUGCUAGGAGAACAGUUUGAAGCAAUCCUUCCUGUUCUUGAAACUCACCUUUAGCUGCUGAGAACGCUGCUAAAACCUGAAAUAAUUUGAAAUUGGAAAAUAUUCAGAAGACCAUGAAAAUCGAUGACUAUUUGGACAAAAGAUUCUACAGCAAGCCAGAAAACUUCUACCCAGAAAUAACACACACACACACACACACACACACAAUUAAUUUAAAAGCUAU